rnacentral:lncRNA from 1 species
GAUUUGCAAGGAUGGGCUAAAUAUGGGGCGGGACUUCCGGGGCAGCCGGAGUAGGUAAUGUCGGGAGGUGUAGUGGGAAGGAAAGGACACGUCAGCAUCAUGGGAGCCCCAGGGGCGGAGCCAGCCGCGCCCUCCCGCCUGACCUCCCCCAUGACGUCCCUCUCCGCUGGCCUCAGGGGCGCACACUUGUAUACCCACCUAGGUGGGCGCCGCUGUACCCAGGAAUGCGGCCUGGGAGGGUGGAGCCACGCAGGCAGGGUCCUGGAGGAAUCUCCGUAUCCGCUCCACUCGACUUCCGACAUUUUACCUUGGCUAAAAGAAGGAAAGGGACUUUGAAAUCCUUAAAGAAGACUUUUUUUGUGUGCAAUGGAGAACAAACACAGAAUGUAGUCUGAAGAUGCACAAGAUUCACUGAAACAAACAAAGCAUCCUAUUUCUUGAACUUCCUUGAAAAUAAUCCUGAAGUCAGUCCUAAAGUCAGCAAACUCAGAGUUAAAGUUUCAGCAAGUAACAGCAAACUAGAUUAACCAUGGCAUAAACAUAGAUCAAGAAGCUGGAGGUAUUUGUUUAAAAGUUCAACCAUCUC